rnacentral:sRNA from 1 species
AAUCCGGUCGCUACGGCGGCCGGUAUAACAACAAAAUGAAAUUCCUCUUUGACAGGCCAGUAGCGAUACUGGCCUCUUUUUU